ACAAAGUUGGUCAGAUGUUGGAGUUCUUACUAUGAUUAAAGACUUUGUGUCUUAAGAUCAUGUGAGAAUGUUAAGGAAUUUAUGCCAUACAUUCAGGUUUCUGACACAAAAAUGUUGUGAAGGUUCCCUUGUGAAUGAACAAAUUUUAAAUCUUCAUCAUGUGAAGGUGAAAAUUCUCACUAGUAGAAUAGAUAAGGUUGGUCACAAAAUUAACAAAGUUGGUCAAAAGAUUGAGAAAGUUGGCCACAAGAAUGACAAAGUUGACUGUAACUAACAAAUUAACUGUUGAUCUAUGAAGUGCAAAAUCAAGAACGUAACUCUCAAUAUAAGGCCAAACAGGAGGCAAUCUGAGGAAAGCCACGCUCUUUAUCCUCCAGCCACCUAAGGAAGCCUUUAAGUGCUAAACUUGUUUUAGAUUAGGAUUCAAGAAGAAAAUAGGACAGAUUUCUGUUGCCUCAGUCCUUGCCCUGUAAAACUAGAGUCUUAGCAUGUGCCAAGUCAGGAAAGAAUGUUCUAAAAUCAUUGUUCUAAUUAGAUACCAUAUGCUGGCUAUCAUGUAAGACAAAAACUGUUGAAUAAUACUUUUAGCAAUAUUCAAUAAUUAGGACAGGUGUUAUAAUGCUUUUAGAACCUAUUGCAAAUGUUCAAACUAACAGUUACUAUUAUAUAUAAUAUCAAUUGCACGUUUUUUACUUACAGAGGCAAUAGCCUGUCUAAGUUACUCUAACCAAUCAGUGUUCAGAACUUAAAAUUCAUUAUUGUAUAUAGCCUUACAAAUACAUGUAUAGUUAGCCCUUGUGAUAUAGUACAACUGUUUGUUACAUCAUUGUGGAAGGCUAUGACAUCACUUCCUGUAUGCUAUGACAUCACUUCCUGUAUGCUAUGACAUCAAUUCCUGUGAGACCAAAUCACCUUGAAAUUUAAAGUGUUGUUGAAAAUAGCCAGGGAAGUUAAGCACUAGUAUUUUGUUACUGUUUUUGUUGAUUACAAACAAUUGUAACUGCAAUUUUCAGAUGUUGGUUUAGCCAGUACAGUUAGGUAAAGAAGAGGAGAUGUUCAAAUAAAGACAUGCAGUCUUUUCGUCAGUAUAGUA